rnacentral:lncRNA from 1 species
UCUCUAUUUCCGAAAUCAAACCAACCGAAAACAAACCGAAACCACUUUGUCGCCGGGAACUACGAACGCCGCGAACCACCGUCCACCACCACCUCUCGCCGCCGGAGUUCACCACCACCGGUCCACCUUCUCCGGCCACCACCUCCGACCGUCUCCGACCAUCCGGGUAAUUCUCUUGUGCACCCUCUUGGGAAAUCCUUGAUUCUUAAUCUUAUUCCAAGAAAUACGCAACGCACUCUAAGGAUGAGGAAUCAAGAUUUGAAGAAAUAAAUAGGAUGGCUUAGAAACCCACCUUUGAAAUAAUCUAUGUUUGAUGUUUGUUAUUUCCUUUUAUGACAAUUUUGUACGUCUCAUCCCGAUGUUUCCGCCAUCGGUUGGGGUGUGA